rnacentral:rRNA from 1 species
GACGUAGGGCGCGAGCGUUGUCCGGAUUUAUUGGGCGUAAAGAGCUCGUAGGCGGUUUGUCGCGUCGUUCGUGAAAACUCACAGCUUAACUGUGAGCUUGCGGUCGAUACGGGCAGGCUAGAGUUCGGUAGGGGAGACUGGAAUUCCGUGGUGUAGCGGUGAAAUGCGCAGAUAUCAGGAGGAACACCGGUGGCGAAGGCGGGUCUCUGGGCCGAUACUGACGCUGAGGAGCGGAAAGCGUGGGGGAGCAACAGG